rnacentral:sRNA from 1 species
ACCCCGCGCGCGCGUCUCUGUCGUGGCGCGGCCUCCCGCGGUCUCCUCUGCAAAUGGGCUCCGUGGCCUAGCGCCCCCGUCCCCGCCACCCGUGAUCGUGCGCCGAGGCCCGCGAGGGGUCGCCGCCCAGAUCCCACCAGCCAGCAAGCUAAAGCAUGGCGGCCAUCCCCUCCAGCGGCUCGCUCGUGGCCACCCACGACUACUACCGGCGUGAGUAGCCCCUGCCCCCCAUCCACGCAGAUGCUCUGCUGGCGCCAGUGCCGUCCCCGUGCAGGCUGCGGAACCAGCGCUCGGCCUGAAGGCCGGUGGGCUGGGGGGCUCCGCGCCCCGCGUUGCUGACGGGACCUCUCCUCUCCAGGCCGCCUGGGUUCCA